rnacentral:rRNA from 1 species
GACGAACGCUGGCGGCGUGCUUAACACAUGCCAGUCGAACGAAAAGAGGGAAAGAGCUUGCUCUUUCCGGAAUUGAGUGGCAAACGGGUGAGUAACACGUAAACAACCUGCCUUCAGGAUGGGGACAACAGACGGAAACGACUGCUAAUACCGAAUAAGUUCCAAGGGCCGCAUGGCCCAUGGAAGAAAAGGUGGCCUCUACCUGUAAGCUAUCGCCUGAAGAGGGGUUUGCGUCUGAUUAGCUGGUUGGAGGGGUAACGGCCCACCAAGGCGACGAUCAGUAGCCGGUCUGAGAGGAUGAACGGCCACACUGGAACUGAGACACGGUCCAGACUCCUACGGGAGGCAGCAGUGGGGAAUCUUCCGCAAUGGGCGAAAGCCUGACGGAGCAACGCCGCGUGAGUGAUGACGGCCUUCGGGUUGUAAAACUCUGUGAUCCGGGACGAAAAGGCAGAGUGCGAAGAACAAACUGCAUUGACGGUACCGGAAAAGCAAGCCACGGCUAACUAC